UUGUUAAUUUCAUUUUAAAAAAAUCCGUAUAAAAUUCUCUAUCAGUACCGAUUCCUUUUGUAAAUUCCUAGUUUUUAUGGCUAAAAGCAAACGAAUUUCGGUUGAAGAGAAACCCUGAACUAAGAAAUCGAGAGCCAUUCGUCUUCAUUUUCUUGUCUCCGUUUCCUUUGCGACUGAGCGUUUGUCUAUUUGUUUGGCAUUGAACAUCGAAAUUAGGAGUUUUGUGGGUGAACUGAGAAUGAACGAUCUAAGCAGAAGCAGAGGCAGAGAUAGAGAAAGAGACAAAGGUGGGGAUGAGAGACAGCACAUGGAUCACGAUAGGGUGAAGAGGCAUUCCCAUGACGAUGAGGACGACAACAGGCACAGAUAUUCUUCUUCAAGGGAUGACAGACGGCACAGAGAUAGGAAGGAUCAUAAAGAGAGUAGGAAGAUCAAGGACAGGGCAGACGAUAGCUACGCCCAAGGCAGAAAGAUCGAAGACGGUUACAGAGAGGGGGAGAGAUCCUCAUCUCACCAAGGGAAAGAGAAGGACAGGGAUCUUCGAUCUCACAGGGACAGUGCAGAAAGGGCCAAACGCUCUUAUGAGGGCAGAGACGGCGGAGAAAGAGACCGCGACAGCCGCCCUCACAAGCGGCGAGAAAGAGAAGAUGGGGAUGACAGGAAAGAGAAGCGCCACAGAGUGGCAGCAGCAGAGGAUGAUGGUGAUGAUGCCAAGGCCAGAGAUAGAGGGGAGAAGAGGAAAUUCCAAGAGAAUGAUUCCAAAACCAAGGAUGAUAAUGACGAAUACCGAAAGGAGAAAAAACAUGCGAGUGGGCGAGAAGGAAGAGGAGAAGAACAUUAUGGCGAUUCAAAACAGAACAUCGUUGGGCCAGACAAUGGCAGUGCUUCCACCUCUUUCAAUGGUGUUCAACAAGGUGUAACUGUUCUGGCAUCAAAGGAAUCAUCAAGGGAUUUGCCAAAGCCCAUAGCCAUUUCGGAAUUUUCUACAGACACAAAGGUAUCUACAGUUUUUACCACCAAUGUAGUUGAAAAUAAGGCAGAUAAUAUUGCCAGAUCUCAUGAGGUUAUUGGGAACACCAGCACAGAUGGGACUGCAGCAACUAGCAAAGGUGGAAAUUUGUCUCUUGAUGCUUUAGCCAAGGCAAAGAAGGCACUGCAAAUACAGAAGGAGCUUUCAGAAAAGUUGAAGAAAUUGCCUCAGUUGAAUAAGUCUACUGGUACAAGUUCUGUUGCAUCGUCAUCUGCAGCACUUGCUCUUGCAGGAGAGUCAGCAUCUCUGAAGGCACUGGCUCAGGCACCAACAUCCAGUUCUGUGCCUUCAGCCAUGACAACUUUGGCUACAGUUCAGUCUAAAGUAUCUGCAUCAGUAGCUAGUAUGUCAGCUAUUCCAGCAUCUGCAGGAAAUAUUAACUUUGCACCUGGAAUGACUGGAGUGGCAGGUCUUAUGCCAGGUCAUGCAAAUAUUCCAAAUUAUGAAGCAGUAAAAAGAGCACAAGAACUUGCAGCAAGAAUGGGGUUUCACCAGGAUCCGGAAUCGAUGCCAUUUUUGAACAUGUUUCCUGGUCAAAUGUCUGAUGAAUUUGGUACUGCUGGCCAGCAAAAACCUGCAAAGGCUCCUGUGCUUCGUCUUGAUGCACAGGGUCGUGAAAUAGAUGAGCAUGGCAAUGUCAUUGACAAACCAAAAAUAACAAACUUAAGCACACUAAAGGUUAAUAUUAACAAACAGAAAAAGGAAGCAUUUCAAAUCCUAAGGCCAGAACUGGAUGAAAUUCCAGCGACAAAUCCACAUUUCGACGCAAGAAUGGGUAUUGAUAAAACAAAGCUUGUUAGGCCUAAGAGGAUGACAUUUCAAUUUGUUGAGGAGGGAAAAUGGUCUAAACAGGCAGAAAUACUGAAAUUUAAGAGUCAAUUUGGAGAAGCUCAAGCUAAGGAGCUGAAGAUUAAACAAGCCCAGCUUGCGAAGGCAAAGGCUGAGCUAGAUAUCAAUCCAAAUCUGAUCGAAGUGUCUGAAAGAUUUCCUACAAAGGAAGAAAAACCAAAGGAUCCGAUACCUGAUGUGGAGUGGUGGGACACAGUUUUGUUACCUUCCAGCAGCUACACUGAUGUCACUGAAGGUGAACUCAAAGUGAAGAUGGAAAAGCUUACCAUAUAUGUAGAGCAUCCUCAGCCAAUUGAGCCUCCUGCAGAACCGCCUCCACCACCCCCUCAACCUCUAAAGCUGACAAAGAGGGAGCAGAAGAAAUUACGUACACAGCGGCGACUUGCAAAGGAAAAGGAUAGGCAGGAGAUGAUAAGACAGGGUCUGAUAGAGCCUCCAAAGCCAAAAGUAAAGAUGAGCAAUCUUAUGAAGGUCCUUGGAGCCGAAGCAACCCAAGAUCCGACAAAACUUGAAAUGGAAAUUCGCAGUGCUGCUGCUGAACGUGAGCAGGCGCAUGUGGACAGAAAUAUUGCUCGCAAGCUCACCCCAGCUGAACGUUGUGAGAAGAAAGAAAGAAAGCUCUUUGAUGAUCCAAAUACCUUGGAAACAAUUGUUUCUGUCUACAAGAUUACUGACUUGUCGCACCCUCAGACACGCUUCAAAGUGGAUGUCAAUGCUCAGGAGAAUAGAUUAUCUGGUUGUGCAGUUAUCUCAGAUAACAUGAGUGUUGUAGUUGUUGAAGGGGGUAGCAAGUCCAUUAAAAGAUAUGGGAAACUGAUGCUUCACCGCAUCAACUGGGCUGCUGCUGUUGUGAAGGAAGAAGAUGAAGAUGAAGAUGAUGGUCGUCCUGUCAAUAAAUGUCAACUAGUUUGGCAGGGUAGUGUGGCCAAACAAAGUUUUAAUAGAUUUGUGAUUCAGCAGUGCAGAACUGAAGCAGCAGCUCGUAAAUUUUUUGCUGAUUCUGGCGUGGUACACUAUUGGGACCUUGCAGUUAAUUUUUCUGAAGAUCAAAUUUCUUAGAGAAUAGGACCAUAUUGAAGACUCAAAGCCACCCUAGAAACUGUACUAGUUGAACAUGUUUUCAAGGGAUCCUUAGGGAAUUUGUCCUACCAACACAUUUGUGGCAUCAUGUUGGUAACUGUUAAGUAAUUGGAAAAAUAGCUUGUUGCACCUUAUCUUCUUUUUAGAAUGGGCCUUUACUCCCAUAUUUCGAACUUUAUGCCAAGCUAAAGUAUUCAUCUGCCCUUGACACCAAAUUAUUUGAUGAACUCAAGAUCCAUCUAAUGCCUUUGGAUGGCUAGGGCAUUAUCAAUUGUUAUGGCAUUUUGUGGGAUUCUCAGCAACUUAAUAGAUUGUAGGCAUGCCGAUGAGAAUUUGCUAAGUGGACUUUUCCUCUCAGAGGAUCACUUGAGGAACAACAAUUAGUACCUUAUUUUUGCUUUUACUAUAUCCAAAAUGAGAAAAAGAAACACCUCUUAUUAUUUUAUUGAUGAAGAGCCGAUUCAUGAUCAAUUUGACAAGGUCAAGCUUCUCUAUACCUUUUUCCCAAUGACGUUACAUGGGAUAGCACUCAAGAAAAAGGCUGUGUUGAACUUGCAUUAUCGUAAAUAUCACAUCCACGAGUGCAAUAAAAUGUGUCCUCAUUUGGCAAAUGGAUUCAACUUGUUUAGUUAUUGCUUGCAUGAAAAGGUAAAGUGAGGUAUCUCGAUUGUAUCCUCAACCCCUUUCUUUUUGAUAUAGAGAUAGGCAUGACCUUGGCAGAAAUCUGCAGAUUUGUCAAAAAACAGUAAGAUCAUGCCAAAAAACUGAAGUUAACUUGCAGCAGAUAAGAAAUUUCCCUGGCCGCCUUCAAGUUCAUUCUGAAAUCUGUCAAUUAAGUUUGCAAUGUUAUUUAUUCCUAUGUUGAAGAAAGGGGAUCCCUUAAUACGUUCUUGGAAGUGACUUCUGGUUAAAGCCUGAGACAAAUAUUUAUCUGAAUCCAUCUCAUGUGAUUGAUGUUAAGGAAGAAACAUACAAUUUCUGAGAUUCUUUGAACUGUCCUACAGUUCCAUUUCCACUUACUGUAGUCUUUAAAUGGUUCAUUUCUUGCAGCGAUGAAUACAUUGAAAAGAUUAUACUGUCUAUAAAUUGUUUAUGGGAUAAGGAGAAGCUGGCAAUGAGAGGGAAACCACCUGCUCUCGCCACUAAUUUCAUUUUUGCUGAUUGAUCUUCCCAAGGGUUGCUCUAAUAAAAUGGAGAGAUAGGGAAACAGUAUCUCCUGGCCUCAAGCCUGGGGCUGGUAAGAAAUUUAGAAACCAGCAUAUACAUUGUUGAUCAACAAUGAGAGUUUAGGGGUGGAAUAGCAACUUUUGACACAUCUGCAUCAGUCUCUCGAGAUUUCAUACUUAAGCAUAGCCAUCUCUCCAUAAUCCUCCUAUUGACCCAUGCAGGGCUUGAAGUUUUGUAAUAAAUAAAUAAGACUGGCUUUAUUUUGUAUAUUUGGCAUUAUGAGUUCAAUAAAAUAUUGGCAUUGUUAUCAACCAA